GACGAACGCUGGCGGCGUGCUUAACACAUGCAAGUCGAACGGAAAGGCCCUGCUUUUGUGGGGUGCUCGAGUGGCGAACGGGUGAGUAACACGUGAGUAACCUGCCCUUUACUUUGGGAUAACUUCAGGAAACUGGGGCUAAUACCGGAUAGGAGCUCCUGCUGCAUGGUGGGGGUUGGAAAGUUUCGGCGGUUGGGGAUGGACUCGCGGCUUAUCAGCUUGUUGGUGGGGUAGUGGCUUACCAAGGCUUUGACGGGUAGCCGGCCUGAGAGGGUGACCGGCCACAUGGGGACUGAGAUACGGCCCAGACUCCUACGGGAGGCAGCAGUGGGGAAUAUUGCACAAUGGGCGGAAGCCUGAUGCAGCAACGCCGCGUGCGGGAUGACGGCCUUCGGGUUGUAAACCGCUUUCGCCUGUGACGAAGCGUGAGUGACGGUAAUGGGUAAAGAAGCACCGGCUAACUACGUG
rnacentral:rRNA from 1 species